rnacentral:rRNA from 1 species
GAUGAACGCUGGCGGCGUGCCUAAUACAUGCAAGUCGAGCGAACAGACGAGGAGCUUGCUCCUCUGACGUUAGCGGCGGACGGGUGAGUAACACGUGGAUAACCUACCUAUAAGACUGGGAUAACUUCGGGAAACCGGAGCUAGUACCGGAUAAUAUAUAGAACCGCAUGGUUCAAUAGUGAAAGACGGUUUUGCUGUCACUUAUAGAUGGACCCGCGCCGCAUUAGCUAGUUGGUAAGGUAACGGCUUACCAAGGCAACGAUGCGUAGCCGACCUGAGAGGGUGAUCGGCCACACUGGAACUGAGACACGGUCCAGACUCCUACGGGAGGCAGCAGUAGGGAAUCUUCCGCAAUGGGCGAAAGCCUGACGGAGCAACGCCGCGUGAGUGAUGAAGGUCUUCGGAUCGUAAAACUCUGUUAUUAGGGAAGAACAAAUGUGUAAGUAACUAUGCACGUCUUGACGGUACCUAAUCAGAAAGCCACGGCUAACUACGUG